UCUGGCCGCCUUCUCCAGUGGAGAAGGCGACCGGACUGGUCGUCCUCUCCACUGGAGAGGGCGGCCAGA
rnacentral:pre_miRNA from 1 species